AGUGAACGCUGGCGGUAGGCCUAACACAUGCAAGUCGAACGGCAGCACAGUAAGAGCUUGCUCUUACGGGUGGCGAGUGGCGGACGGGUGAGGAAUACAUCGGAAUCUACUUUUUCGUGGGGGAUAACGUAGGGAAACUUACGCUAAUACCGCAUACGACCUACGGGUGAAAGCAGGGGAUCUUCGGACCUUGCGCGAUUGAAUGAGCCGAUGUCGGAUUAGCUAGUUGGCGGGGUAAAGGCCCACCAAGGCGACGAUCCGUAGCUGGUCUGAGAGGACGAUCAGCCACACUGGAACUGAGACACGGUCCAGACUCCUACGGGAGGCAGCAGUGGGGAAUAUUGGACAAUGGGCGCAAGCCUGAUCCAGCCAUACCGCGUGGGUGAAGAAGGCCUUCGGGUUGUAAAGCCCUUUUGCUGGGAAAGAAAAGCAGCAGGUUAAUACCCCGCUGUUCUGACGGUACCCAAAGAAUAAGCACCGGCUAACUUCGUG
rnacentral:rRNA from 1 species